GUGCAAUGAUGUUUUGUCAACACAUCAUUCUGAAGAAAAGCAUGUGGUGACUUUCUGUAACUGAGCACA